CCUACGGGAGGCAGCAGUGAGGAAUAUUGGUCAAUGGCCGGAAGGCUGAACCAGCCAUGCCGCGUGAAGGUCAGUGCCCUAUGGGCGUUAAACUUCUUUUGUGCGGGAGCAAUAAUGGUCACGUGUGGCCAGACGAGAGUACCGUACGAAUAAGCAUCGGCUAACUCCGUGACAGCAGCCGCGGUAAUACGGGGGAUGCAAGCGUUAUCCGGAUUUAUUGGGUUUAAAGGGUGCGUAGGCUGUGAGGUAAGUCAGCGGUGAAAUGCCCCCGCUCAACGGGGUGAAGUGCCAUUGAUACUGCCUGGCUGGAGUGCGGAUGCCGUGGGAGGAAUGUGUGGUGUAGCGGUGAAAUGCAUAGAUAUCACACAGAACACCGAUUGCGAAGGCAUCUCACGAAUCCGCGAUUGACGCUGAUGCACGAAGGCGUGGGUAUCAAACAGGAUUAGAUACCCCAGUAGUC
rnacentral:rRNA from 1 species